CUUCUAUAUUUAUAAUAGAAUUUUAUUUUUUAGUCAAAAAGCUAAAAUAUAUUUAAAAGACGAGAAGACCCUAUAAAUCUUUAUAUUUAGGUUAUUAUAAUUUUAUAGAUUUUUUUUGUUAUAAUAAUUGAUAAUAUUUUAUUGGGGUGAUAUUAAAAUUUGAUAAACUUUUAAUUGUUUAAAUCAUUAAUUUAUGAAUAAUUGAUCCGUUAUUAGUGAUUAAAAAAAUAAGUUACCUUAGGGAUAACAG
rnacentral:rRNA from 1 species